GAUGAACGCUGGCGGCGUGCCUAAUACAUGCAAGUCGAGCGAACGGACGAGAAGCUUGCUUCUCUGAUGUUAGCGGCGGACGGGUGAGUAACACGUGGAUAACCUACCUAUAAGACUGGGAUAACUUCGGGAAACCGGAGCUAAUACCGGGUAAUAUUUUGAACCGCAUGGUUCAAAAGUGAAAGACGGUCUUGCUGUCACUUAUAGAUGGAUCCGCGCUGCAUUAGCUAGUUGGUAAGGUAACGGCUUACCAAGGCAACGAUGCAUAGCCGACCUGAGAGGGUGAUCGGCCACAUUGGAACUGAGACACGGUCCAGACUCCUACGGGAGGCAGCAGUAGGGAAUCUUCCGCAAUGGGCGAAAGCCUGACGGAGCAACGCCGCGUGAGUGAUGAAGGUCUUCGGAUCGUAAAACUCUGUUAUUAGGGAAGAACAUAUGUGUAAGUAACUGUGCACAUCUUGACGGUACCUAAUCAGAAAGCCACGGCUAACUACGUG
rnacentral:rRNA from 1 species